GGGAUUGGAAAAACUAAUAGUUAAGCAUAUAAUUAUAUUGUCAAUUAAUUUGACUAUAGUGAUAAACGCCGUUCAAAAUAAGCGUAGCGGACCCGGGGGCAGUACCCGGCGCCUCCACCAUAAGUGUAAUAACACCUAAAAACAUAAUAUUUGUUAUACAUUUAUGAUGGGGGCGAAAUAGGAUCGACGUGCGUGGUAAAAGUGCGGUUUUCUCUCGGUAUUGUUCCACCGUUAUCGGGCUAUUUAUAAGUGCCAAUGAUAAUGAAAUGGUACUCGCUGCCUAGACUCUAGGCAAGCGCGGUUGGGAAGACACCGGGCAACAGAAGUCUUCCAUU
rnacentral:tmRNA from 1 species